rnacentral:rRNA from 1 species
UACGUAGGGUGCGAGCGUUGUCCGGAAUUAUUGGGCGUAAAGGGCUCGUAGGCGGUCUGUCACGUCGGGAGUGAAAACACGGGGCUUAACCCCGUGCCUGCUUCCGAUACGGGCAGACUAGAGGUAUGCAGGGGAGAACGGAAUUCCUGGUGUAGCGGUGAAAUGCGCAGAUAUCAGGAGGAACAUCGGUGGCGAAGGCGGUCUCUGGGCAUUACCUGACGCUGAGGAGCGAAAGUGUGGGGAGGCGAACAGG